UACCUCUUAUUGGACUUUACAUGUUUUCUUUAUGAAUAGGCAAGCGCUUUUGGUACAUAUAACAAUGAUGAUUCUACUCUUUAAGGUCAGCUUUAUCCCUAACCCUUCUCCCCUUUGAAUUAUGUUCAAUAGCAAUGCUACUUUUCUUUACCUCAUGCUUAUUACGUUACAUUGCUAGCCUUUUUAGAACAUAAAAUGGAGAUCACAAUGAGGUCAUUGCAACCUGCCUACUGUUGUCUACCAAUGUAAAAAAAGACCUACAAGAGGUAAUAGUUCUCGUAGUGUAUUCCCUCUAUAUCUCCGUGCUUCUUUAUUUUUUGACGCCAUUAGUACGCUAUAGUUUUGUCCAUGAUUUCAAAUUAUCAUGUUUGGCCUUACUUGAUACCUUAUGCUCCGUUGUUGAAUCUAUGUUGACCUAUGCUCAAGUUGCCUGUGCUUGCCGCCUCACUACACCAAGAAAUAUGCUAAGUUCUAGGUUCACACUAAGGAAAAAAUCCAUUAUAUAUAACAUCGUUGUCAAUUAUUUUUAUUACAGGUAAAUAGGUUCAUUCGUAAUCCUGCAACUGCAGCUAGGCAUGUAUUCCGUGAGAAGCAGGGAAAGAUCAAUGAAUCUUAUAAGAAGCUGCAGAAUGGAUGGCUGAACAGUGGGGACAAAAGACCCUUCUGUUAAGUUUGCUAAGGUAAGGGGUAAGAUUAGUUGGUUCGAUCUUUUAAAACCAAUUUUUCUGAUAGCCUACUACUUUUCCUUUUUUUAUAUCAUUUUACCCUCGUCCCAUUGAAAUAUAAUGUUCUCGGCCAGAAACUUUGCCCACGUCAAGCACAAGGUGAUUAAUUUAUAUGUUGGAAACUUGCCUUAUGCCCCAUUUGUAGCAACGAAUGUUCCUUUCCAGUGCGUAAUCUACAUACUAGGUUCAGAAAAUUCAGUCUCAUGUGACCUAGCAGUGGGACUUUCCCUACUGUUUUCUUGGUUCACUGAAAGGUGUGUAUGGAGAAAACUGUGUGAGGAACAUCAAGCACAAGACGAUUAAUUUAUAUGUUGGAAACUUGCCUUAUGCCCCAUUGUAGCAAGGAAUGUUCCUUUCCAGUGGGACUUCCCCUACUGUUUUCCUGGUUCAACAAAAAAAACUUUCAAUUCCAUAUAUUGAUGUGUGUUACUUUAUGUUACUAGAAUAAAAUAUUGGUCUGCUUUGUGAGAUUUUAAAAAAUAAUGUUGUAAAUUUGCAAUAGUCCGCCCAUUAGCUAUGCCUAUGUAUAAGCCACAGUGCUUCAAAUGGAAUUAGGUUGGUCAUUUGAUCAUUUUUGUUAACCACAAAUAGAAGUACGACUACUAGGCUAAAAAAUUGAUACAGUUUGCUGAAGAUAUCUCAGAGUGUAACUACUUCCGUUUACUCACCCAACUGUUACCUAUCUUAUAGUUUGGUCUACAAAAUUUGCGAUCGUAGAUAUAAGUUGGUUGUUCAUUUACCAUCUUGUUCCUUUGCCUCAAGGCCAGCUACUCUGUAUAUGCCAGGUAUCCCAUUAUUCUGUGUUUUUUAUCUCCAUGCUCCUUUGUUAUUAUUGUCAUGUGCACAGCUCCUAAACCCUAUCAAUUUCCCUUCUAUUAUUGUGUUUAGGUGCAUUCAAUCAGAUAGCAAGCAAAAGGUGAAAAAGACUGGACAGGUGAACAACUUUCCUUUGAAAUGCUUUAUUCUUAGUUCAUAUCCAGUUUGGUUUACCUAUACGUCACACAUGAAUUCUUGUAAAUUUUAUAUAUUUCUUGCAUAUAGGAUUAGUUCUAUUAACUGAACUAUUUCUCCAUUAGAUAGAACCCCCUCCUAAUUAGAUGGUUUCAAACUAAAACAUUAUUUGGACAGUAUACAAUACUAAUACUUUUGUAUGCAGAUUCUUCUUUUUUUAUCUCCAUGUCAAGAGUACGUUGCCAAAUCAGGCUGCAUUCCUUUGGUACACUUUCUCUCUAUUUGUAAUGUUAGUCAUGGCAAUAUGUGUGUGCAGUACUUUCAGACACUGACAAUGUUAGUUGCCAUUGUUAGAACUACUUUUCAUUUAGAGUUACUUACUCCCUUCAUCCUGUCCUGCUUACAUCUUUUUUAAAAACUAUUGAUUUAUCCUCUACAUCUUGAAAAUACAUGGCAUGUGUUAACCUCUACACUUCAGCUGGACAUCACUGUCACUCCAUGUCCCUCUUCUUCGAACCUCCUAGGCUCACCUUAGUUUGGCCAUGUGCUUCUCUUUUUCAAAUGAUUUUCCUGAUUCGUCUUCUCAGUUAAGAUGCCACGGGUUUCCUAAAUUGUUUCCCCUUUUGUACGUACUCACUUUCACAGGACCUACGCAUGCUAAUAUGGUAUGGGUCACACUUGCGUACUACUAUGUGAUAAACUCCCUUCUUUUUCACUCAUCUCAAGUUGCCAACUCCCAUCAAUUUUGGCAGAAAAAAAUGACAUGUGUACUUCUUAUUUUGAUUUCUUCUCCAGAAUCUUACCCAUAUAGCUCUUUUUGUCUUAUCUUUAUUGAUGAAUAGUGGUGGCACCGUAACAAAAAUAUUGUAUUCGAGGAUCUUAUUGAUCGAUGCCUUAGCCACAAGAUUUACUUAGUUCUUUCGCCAAAAUAUUCUUUGCUUGGAUGAUUGGCAAGGCGUUGAUGCUCGACGAAAUCAUAAAGCUAGGUGCAAUUGCUGCAAUGAUAGGUCGAGGUAAGCAGCACAUCCCAGUUCAAACUAUCCGAUGCACCUAACUAAAAUUCGAUUUUUCCAAAUUCUUAUUGAUUUCACUGCUUUCUGGUCCAGUUUCUCUUCAUGAAGCUUGCAAGACCCCACUUGGCUUCAGCAACCUGCGUACCCUCCUAUAAAAAGAUGGAAGUUUAAACUUUCCCUGUGUUUUGCCCUGUGAUGGACAAGUUGACCAAAUUAGUAGAUUACUCAGAUGUUCCAAACCUGUGGCCCUUCGACAAGCUUAGUCCAGUCGUUCGUUCCAAACGUCUUCGACAACCAACCUACCAAUGCCCAGUAUGCUUUUCAGAACUUGAAGGUAAACCAACUAAUGCUUGAGCAGCUCAUUUUGGUUAUCCAUUUAGUUAGCUUACUAAAUAAUCAAAUCAUUGGGAAUCUUAACAUAGCUUUGGUUUAUAUUUUUUUUUUAUUUUUCAGCAAAGAAGCUACUACAAGAAGAAUCUCCAGAGCAUUAAUAGCUUCCUGAGCAGAAGCGAUGUCCACGUCGCCUAAAAUAUUCUUGUCCGUUCGAUCUCACCAUCCAACGCCCUAGAUUGAUCCGAGCGGCUUCUACCCGGAGCGGCUUCUCUUGCUUCUCGUGCGCUUCUUCGGCUGUUCUGGCUUCACAUCAGAAUCCAGACUACCAAAUAUAUAUCUCAGCUUCUGCUUCUCCUUACUAAAAAAACACAGCUCUCCCAUCCUGUCCUCUCCCUCCGCUUCCUCCCUCAUCCUUCCGACGUGAUGGACGCCGACGACGGCGAGCGGCGCGCCGCGGCCGCCCUCCUCCUCCUCCUCCAUCUCCUCCUCAUCCUCCUCCUCCUCCUCCUCCUCCUCCUGCGCCUCCUCUCUCCCCUUCCCUUCCAUGCCGGCGGCGGGCGCCACGCAGCGGCGCAGCCUGCAGGCAGCGCGAUGGCGCCAGUGGUGCCCGCUGGCUCCUUCCCUCUCCUCCAUCCUACUUGCGGUCUCCUCGAUGCCUCCUCACCCCAGGGCGCCUGCGCUCCUCCCGUUAGCGAAACCCCAGGUAACCUUCCCUGUACAUUGAUGAUUAGUUGUUUCGUUCAUGUUAUCCACUGAGGCUUGGACCUUGUGCAAUGAUGAUCCUUUUAAGAUUGAGUCAAUAGAAUGAUUUAUUGGAUGUUGUAUUAGUGACCAGACGCAACAUCAGAGUUAUUUUUUACUUUCAAUUACUAGGCUACACCUAUACAUCGGCUUGUUAUGUACAUAAUCUUGUUUAAUUUAAUACAGUAUUGUUUUUCAUCCAGCUGUUUAUUCUUUCGUAUUGUGGGAUCAUGACAGCUCUAAAUUUUCUGCCUCAGAUUUUAGGUGAAUGAGUUAGUUUUGGAAAAUUUGUUCCGAAUUGUAAAAACAUUAAGAUGUACUUUUUAGGGGUAAAAUUUUGGACCUUGUACUAUUCUAUUACGAUAGGCUUGCCUAUGCCCCUAGAGGUCUAAUUAACUUUUAUUGGACUUGGUUCUAGCUGCUUGCUUAGUCUACAGAACUUCGGCUCCUAUAAUAUUUAACGCACAUAGGAAGCCCCCCUGCAGGUCUAAUUAUCUUCUAUUGGACUCAGUUCUACCUGCUUGGUCAGUUUGGAGAACUUAGGCUCCUAAUAUUUAACACACAUAGGAACUCCAGUGAUGCACCAAAAUUCAGCUUUAAAGGCUCCUAUAAUAUUUAACACACAUAGGAACUCCAGUGAUGCACCAAAAUUCAGCUUUAGAGGCUCCUAUAAUAAUUAACACACAUAGGAACUCCAGUGAUGCACCAAAAUUCAGUUUUAAACUUUGGUAUAUUUUAAAUCAUCGUGUAUAAGCUGAAAUUCAAAUGUUCUUAGAAAAUGGCAUAGCAUUAUUUGAAAAGAGAAACAAGGGCAGUUCUUUUCUGUUAUGAACGAGGUGGAUAUUUGGGAGAUAACUAGGCCUUAUGCUUUGCCAAGAGCUUUGGGAUAACUGGGCCUUAUGCUUUGCCAAGAGCUUGAGAGAUUGAGGGAGACUAGAAUUGUUUCUUAAUAAUUCAUUGCUUGCUUUCCAUUGUGCCCCAUGGGCUGAAUAUAAAAAGGUACAUAGGACUAACACCUCUUGUGCCUAGACAAUAUGGUACUAUUCCUAUAGACAAAUAACUAAGAGAGACACUAAUUAACACUAAUGGGCUUAAGGACCAACUAGGACACUUGCGCCCUACGACGCCCCUCUUUAUGCCCAUGACAUCUCCCCCGCCCUUGGAGACCCAGCUCGUCCUCGAGCUGGAGAGCUGAAGCGAAAUAGGGUUAAGCCUUUACAUCUCGGCUUCCCCUUUUUAUUGAAGACUAAAAUACAAGGAUAUCCACCUGGAUCCCAUGGAAAGAGCGCCUCUGCUGGCUUCAUGUAGGCUGAAGGGUGGAGUGUGAAGCAGCUGGCUCUUAUGCUGAAAGUGUCUAGCACCACGGCAGGCACAAGGAUGAAUGAGAUAGCCUUUGAUGCCUGAUGCUGGAUGCCUGAUGCGAGGUCGCUGCACUGGAAACGCCCAUACUUGGACCCCCACUGCAAUUGGAGCCGCAGGCCGUAUCGGCGAGUCCGAGUGGAUGAACACGUACGACAACGUCGAGCUGAGGAGCAUGUGUAUCUGCCGCACCAUGCGACGGACAAGCAUUGCGCGCACUGCUGCCUGGAGGCGCACUGUUGCUUGCUCCUUCGAUGCUUUUGUGGCACGAAGAGCCUGCGCUCGGCGAUGUGCCAGGAGUCCCCGUGCUGCUGCCUGGAGGCGUACAACCGCCCGGCGUUCACGGUCCUUCUUCGCGUUGAUCAACUCCUUGAUGCGAUCCAGCUGCGUGAAUAUAUCAGCAAAGAUGCGGGAAGUGUCGUUGGCAGUAGGGGACACAUGGUGGAGCAGGUCGGGGCACGGGGGCGAUGUGAAGCGCAGGUGCAGGAGCUCGGUGAAGCGAUGCCACGCCGGGGUGCCUUCAGCGUGCUGGACUUGUAGGAACCAAACCCGGGCGUCAUCUUCCAAAUUACGGGAAACCAGCCAUACCUUUUCUUCCUCCAUGAUGCGCUCUCGGUGGAAGUAGGAGUCGCACUGGUUGACGAAGGCCACAGGAUCAGAUUUCCCCGCAAAUUUAGGGAAAUCCAUCGAGGCAAAGCGUGGCAGCGGCGGUGUGUUGUGGCGGAUCUAGAUCGAUGAUUGCGGCGGCGGCGGAUGGUGGUGAUAGGGCUGCGGCGCGGUGGCUGUGGUGAUGGGGGUGCGGCGGCGGCUGGUGGCGUUGCUGUGGCGGCGCGGCACGAUGGAUGAGGUAGGCGACACGACGAUCUGGAUCGGUAUCUUUUUUUUUUGGAAACGGCCGAUGGAGGAUCGGAACUGCUGGAGGAUUCGCCUGAUGGAGGAUCGGAGGUGCUGGAGGAUCCGGCUAAUGGAGGAGGAUCGCUGGAUUCUCUCUGAUACCAGAUGUUAUGAACGAGGUGGAUAUUUGGGAGAUAACUAGGCCUUAUGCUUUGCCAAGAGCUUGAGAGAUUGAGGGAGACUAGAAUUGUUUCUUAAUAAUUCAUUGCUUGCUUUCCAUUGUGCCCCAUGGGCUGAAUAUAAAAAGGUACAUAGGACUAACACCUCUUGUGCCUAGACAAUAUGGUACUAUUCCUAUAGACAAAUAACUAAGAGAGACACUAAUUAACACUAAUGGGCUUAAGGCCCAACUAGGACACUUGCGCCCUACGCCGCCCCUCUUAUGCCCAUGACAUUUUCGGUGUUAUUUUUUUUGAAAGGACACGACUUUCACCCUUUUCAGAGAUCUUUCUUAUGCCUUCGUUCUCAACUUUGUUCAAUCACCUAGAUAAUGGAAAAGGUUACCUCUGCAUAGAAAGAGAGGAGUGUGGGUCAAGGAAUAGUGGUUGCUUGUUGUUUUGAUGCUGCUCUGCUCUUUUGAUUGUUUCAGGAAAGAAAUCAAGAUAUUGCCUAGCUGUUAUUAGACCGUGGACAUACAGGUGUCAUUAGUUUUCGUUUAGAUUCUACUCUGCUCAUUGGAUCUUUUGUUGGUAUCCAGUUCAAAUCAACCGAAAAAGGAUGCGACAGAGUACCAGCCUGGAAUAGAUUUCAAACUGCUGAUUUUUACCACCUUUAUUCCUCCUGUUUACUCUUUUCAUUGCCUGUCACUAUAUUGAAAACUGAGAGGCCUAAAUGCAAUGUCAAUCCAUAGUUUCUUAACUAUGCUAAUACAAUCAUUCUGCUUAAUGGUUUCUUACAUGCAUCAAACAAGAAAAAUGCAGCCACUAGGUUCAGAACUCUUUUUUUGAUACUUGCUAUAUGUGCUUACAUGAUAUAUCUAUUACAAGACUUGCGCCAAAAAAAGACUUAUCACAGGCAAUUGAGAUUCAUUUAUGUAAAUAUAGAAGUCUUGGAGAAUAGUACAAAAACAGAUGGCCUUGGUAAAUGAUCGAAGGCAAGGAAAUAAUCUUGCAUUUUCUUGUGGUAAAUCACAAUACUCACUGCUUGCCAAGCAAAGAACAGGCACUGCCUUUUGGUUUACCUUGCUCCACUGCAAUAAAACAUUUAUCUAUGACAUUUAUUGGUUAUUGGCGUUAUUUUUGCAGGAAAGAAGGUAUUUUUGAUAAAGACCAUUUGUUGGCCUGCUGCCUUUCAGAUCCAUGUAUAGCUCUCCAAAGGUGGCUGAUGUGAGUAUCUAUCUAGCAUAGGUACAUACAUACAAUUUUCAGCAUUAUUCUUACUGCUAUUUCUGUUGUAUAUAGACUGCUACAGCUCCAAAUAUUUGCCACCAUAUUUUCUAGAGUACAUAAGACUGUCUUUGAUUUGUUCACUAUAAACUGAAAUGUGGCGAAAAAAUCAGCCCUGACAUUUUAUAGUUCACAGUUUCACACCGAUUUGAUUCUUGCCUUCUUCCAUUUAUGAUUCAACUUUCCUCAGCCCACAUGGUGCAGUAAACAAGGAAAAAAAUAACACAUACCUAAUCAUGUUUUCAAUACUAGGGUCCACCCAUUUUUUUACAAUAUCCACUAUGUAGGGUUGACAAGAACCCUGCUCAGGUAAAACAAUUCAUCCGGUGCCCUGGCCUACACCUUCGCCCUUUUGUCUUGUUGCCUACACAUUCUACAGUGCAAAGCUUAAAUCUUAGUAAGGUCAUGGAUUUUCAUAUGGCUACUUUUUCCCCAGUAGAGAAUAAACGCCAACGAGUUUACAUGCCACCUUAUAUUGAUGAUGGUGCUACAUAAGAUUGGCUAGAUUGAAACAAGUUGUCCUCAUCGGUCAAUCUAGCCCCUUUUAUCUAUACAUUGACCAUUCAGAUUACAAAUUUGGUGAAAGAAAAAUGCUUAAUCAUUCGUUAACUACGUCUCUUCAAUUUCAGGCUCCGGAAUCGCUUAUUCACUAGGCAGGCGCAGAACAAUCUUUGCAGAUACAACUGAGUCAUAAUCCUUUGAUGGCAGUACAACACUGCUUUUAAAAGAGUGUUUAUGCAGUUUAUCCCUAAAUUGGUUUUCAAAUGAGUAAGAAAACUAUUUUGUUCAUAUAUUUUCUUGUGUGCCUAUUAACUCAGCUUUUUUGUCGUUACUUACAGCCCCUAACUUAAUUGAGCUAUUGGCAUUACCAAAAAUUGGGAAGGUCAAAUGCUAAUGUCCUUGAGUUUGGCACCAUAGCGCUUUCGGAAAUUCUGAGAAACAGAGGUAAGUUUUAAAAAUAUUCGAUUGGGAAUAUCUACUGUCUUGGUUCUAUUAAUGUUGCUAUUAUCUACAAUAUAUGGUCUGAAUAUUCACCAACAAACUAAAAUUCUUUUUGUGAGAUCUAUAGAAUAGAAUGAAAGCAAAUUUGGUUAAAAAGGCUGUUUUUGUUAUAACGCUCCUAUGAGUUAUGCCCAUAUCUUGAUGCACACUGAAGGCAAAGAGAUAGAGAAUAAUGGUGAUAUUUGUAGUUAGUAACAGAACUCCACUCAUGAGACUAUGAAUCUAAAACUAGAGUAUCCUAAAUGCUACAAUGCCAUGCUGCAUAAAUCGAACAGCUUUUGCUACAAGCUUUUAACGUCAAAUUGUUGGAUUACUUAGGUAUAAAAAUGAUAUCAGUGGUAUCUCAAAACCUUAUUUAUGAAAUUAUCUUCUUCUUUCUCAUGUUCUUCAGGCAUGGGAAAUAUUUUCCUCAAGGACUCUUACAUUUCUGUGACUAUUUAGUUUUUUCGCAUGUGAAUAAUGUCAUGCCACCAUUUACACCAAAGUUGUUGCUGGAUGAGUGUAUAUUUGAAUGCAGAGAGUUGACAGCUUGUGAUGGUUGCCACGCAUGAAUGCCCUUGCUCACCUAUUAUGUCCUUUGUCUUAGAUUCCGUAAUAUCAUCAUGUUACCUAUUGCUGCCACUAUUAUCUUGUACCUUGGAUUCUUAGAAAUGACAACAGUAUUUUAUGCCCCCCCCCCCCCCCCCCCCAAGAAAAGGUGGUAGCUCUCUGCAGAAAGAAUGUGAUUCAGUUUUCGUAGAUCCCGCUUUUAUCUUAAUCGUACCUCUUGUUGAUAAUAAAUGAUAUUGUGAUUUAUUGGACUCUUCUAACCUAUUAUUUUAUUAUUACAUUGCCUGGAACUUCAAGAUGACGAAUUUAAAAGAGUAAAAGAGGCAGGAUGAUUUGCUCCAUAAUACCCAUGGAACACUGGCAUGUAUGGAUCUAAAGGUUAUCAACAAGAUAUGGGCUAUGAUGAUGCAGAAUCCGACAUCUGGUUGCUGGCUACCUCCCUUUUGCAUCGCUUCUUGAAUAGUUCAUUGGUAUUUUCAGUACAUGAAAGUUUUUGGCAUACAUAUCAUAUGUUCAUACCAUUUUGAUAGAUGAAUAAAUGCGGUCCUUUCUAAAAUUUAUUGGGAAUCCUAAGGGAUCUUCAACUGCAUCUUAGUGUUACCUUGAGCCAUAUGCAACUCCUGUAAAUACGUUACGUGUGCCAUUUUUGAUGUGAACAAUAUAUAUAGUGUAUGCAUACAUCAAUGUAGUUUACCAGUCUUAUAAAUAUCUAUCGGUCAUGCUACCUUGCCAAUCUACAUUACCAACGUCUCGCUGAUGUGGAUCAUACAUGUAUGCAACCUCACUGUGCUCCUUUCUCUCGCGCGCGAGGGCGCGGGCCCUCCACUAGUUGGUAACAUAAAGAAGUAUCAUAUGGUGAAAUGGGAGGCCCUGGCUACCCUAAAAGAUUUUGGUGGUUUGGGUUUUGCAGAUACGAGAGCUAUGAAUACAACUCUCCUGGGAAAAGUGGUGCUAUAAACUUGAUAGACACAAUGAUAGUAUGGCAUUGCAAGUUCUAACAAGGGUGUGUUUGGUUGGGCUGUGACUUUUGGAAAAGCUACUGUGAGCUUUGAGCUUUUGAAAAGCUGCUGUGGGAUGUGGGCUUUGAGAAAUCCAUUUGUCAUUUGGUUGGUCACUUGUGGCUUUUGGAAAAAAACUGAACGGAUCCCAAAAGUCAGUGAAAGCAGGGGGUGAGGUGCUUUUGGAUUUGUACUACGAGAAAAGCUGCUUUUGGGCAAAAGCACUUGUGGCUUUUGGGCCCUUUGGUUGGCUUUUGGCUUUUACAAAAGCAAAAGCAGGUUCAAAAGCCCAACCAAAGGGACCCCAAAUAUGUGAAAGGUCAAAGUAUAUGUCAAAGCAAAAUUAGAGGUGGCUCACAAUUUUGGCAAGGGAUUAUGCACGCCAGGGAAUGGUUUGAGAGAGGAACAAGAUGGAUGGUGCAAUGGAAGAAGAAUUCGGUUUUGGCAAGAUGUGUGGCUAGACAACUGCCCUUUAAAGAUCAGGUUCCCGAGACUAUACAAGAUCACGAGGUAGCAAACCUGGUCAGUAGCAGAGAUGUUUGUGGUAGAUUGGGAGCUUGACUGCAGAAGAAAUUUGGGUCAGGAGGAAUGCUCUGAUUUAAUUGAUUUGCAGGAAGCAUUAGAGGUGAUAUAGAUUACAAGGAUGAUAGCUUAAUCUGGGCUCUAGAAUCUUGAGGCAGAUUUUCAAGCAAGUCUCCGUAUAGACUUAUGGUGAAUCCUAGAGAAGUGGAUGUAAGAAUGAGAUAUCUUUGGGAAAUUAAGCUUUCGCUGAAGAUCAAAGUUUUCCUUUGGAUGUUAUGGCAUGACAGGGUGCAGAUUGGAGAAUAACUAAAGAAGAGGAAAAGCAAACACUCGAGCUUUGCAAAUACUAUGGGCGACUAAAAACCAGGGAUCACCUCUUCUUUAACUGUAGUAUAACCUAGAUUAUUUGGGUUUGGGUGCGGGUUAGCCUAAGAUGGAAUAGGAGGCCUACCUCGAUGACUAACUUCCAAGAUAUGCUUAAUGCUGGAGAGAUUGAGAGAUCUAAGAUCGUUAACUUCUUUGUGAUAGCUAGUGUUCGUGGGCUGUGUGGAAGUCUAGGAAUGACUAGGUGUUUAACAACAAACUUAUCAAAACUCCCAAAGCUCUUGCUUACAAAGUCUUGGCUCUGUUGAAACCAAUGUUUUUAAGGAGUCGCUUUGGCGUCGCUUUAGCGUCGCCUAAUCGCCAAGGCGCUCUAGGCAAGACGUUUUGGUAGACGACUCACCUCAGAUUGGUAUGGUGUCCACCUUACGAGCAUGGCGUCCGGAAAACGUCGAUUUGGCGUCCGAUUCGUCCCAGAUCGAGGAAGGCGGGCGCCAUACGGGCGUGCUCUGUGCGGGGAGGCAGGAAACGUGGGACAUCGCGGGAGAAAGGAUGGGGAAAAGAGCAAACGCGCGGGAAAGGCAGUCGUGCGCGCAGAGACAGAGGGGGGGGGGGUGCGUGGGAGAAUUAGGCGCGCUGGAGAGAAGAACGCGGGAGAAAUCAGAGCAGACAGCAGAGAGAGGAGCGUUCAGGGAAGACAGACCUACCUGCUCGCUCGCGUUUUGCCCGCGCCACAGGGAGAAGCUGCUGCCGUCGAGUCUCUGCCUGAAGCAAAGGCUCCGCCUUCCGCUCCCCUCUUCCCAAUCCGCGCGAGGAGCUGCCGUCGGCGGGUAGCUGUUUCCCGGCCUGCCUCCUCUGGUCAUUCUCCUUCCGCGCGGGGAGCAGCCGCCGGCGGGUUGCUGUUUCCCUGCCACCUCUCUGGUCCUCCAUCGCCUCCUCCAGUCUUCCCUCGAGCAGGACACCGAGCUGCCUCCUCCAGUGUUGCCUCGAGCAGGACACAGAGCCGCCUCCUCCAGUCUUCCCUCGAGCAGGACACAG
rnacentral:lncRNA from 1 species